GAGUUUGAUCUUGGCUCAGAUUGAACGCUGGCGGAAUGCUUUACACAUGCAAGUCGAGCGGCAGCGCGGGGCAACCUGGCGGCGAGCGGCGAACGGGUGAGUAAUGCAUCGGAACAUGUCCAUGUCGUGGGGGAUAGCCCGGCGAAAGCCGGAUUAAUACCGCAUACGCCCGAGAGGGGAAAGUGGGGACCGCAAGGCCUCACGCGAUUGGGUUGGCCGAUGUCCGAUUAGCUAGUUGGCGGGGUAAUGGCCCACCAAGGCGAUGAUCGGUAGCUGGUCUGAGAGGAUGAUCAGCCACACUGGGACUGAGACACGGCCCAGACUCCUACGGGAGGCAGCAGUGGGGAAUUUUGGACAAUGGGGGCAACCCUGAUCCAGCCAUUCCGCGUGAGUGAAGAAGGCCUUCGGUUGUAAG
rnacentral:rRNA from 1 species